rnacentral:rRNA from 1 species
AAUCAACGCUGGCGGCGUGCCUCAGACAUGCAAGUCGAACGAUUAAAGCUCUCUUCGGAGAGUGCAUAGAGUGGCGCACGGGUGAGUAACACGUAAGUAAUCUACCUUCGAGUGGGGAAUAACGUCCGGAAACGGACGCUAAUACCGCAUAAUGCAGCGGCAUCGCAAGAUGACAGUUGUUAAAGGAGCAAUUCGCUUGAAGAGGAGCUUGCGGCAGAUUAGCUAGUUGGUAAGGUAAUGGCUUACCAAGGCUACGAUCUGUAACCGGUCUAAGAGGACGGUCGGUCACACUGACACUGAAUAACGGGUCAGACUCCUACGGAGGCAGCAGUCGGGAAUUUUGGGCAAUGGGCGAAAGCCUGACCCAGCAACGCCGCGUGAAGGAUGAAGUAUUUCGGUAUGUAAACUUCGAAAGAAUGGGAAGAAUCAAUGACGUACCAUUUAUAAGGUCGGCUAACUACGUGCCAGCAGCCGCAGU